rnacentral:rRNA from 1 species
GUGCCAGCAGCCGCGGUAAUACAGAGGUCCCAAGCGUUGUUCGGAUUCACUGGGCGUAAAGGGUGCGUAGGUGGCGAAGUAAGUCGGAUGUGAAAUCUCCGAGCUCAACUCGGAAACUGCAUUGGAAACUACUUUGCUCGAGGAUUGGAGGGGGGACUGGAAUACUUGGUGUAGCAGUGAAAUGCGUAGAUAUCAAGUGGAACACCAGUGGCGAAGGCGAGUCCCUGGACAACUCCUGACACUGAGGCACGAAAGCUAGGGGAGCAAACAGGAUUAGAAACCCUCGUAGUCC